rnacentral:lncRNA from 1 species
AGAUUGUUGAAACACUUUCACUAUUGUUUUAAGCUUCAAAUACUCCUGGUAGGUGUUCUGUUUUCACAAAACCAUAACAAGCAAAUCAAUUUACUCAAAGGUAGUCACCAACAUUAACUUUUAUAAUCUUGGUUUGCCCACUGGUAUUUCAAAAAGCUUUCGAGUUCCGACUAACCAAAAUCUUGUGAAAGGAAAUUGAAGCUUACUCUUCCUAGAUAGGUCAAUGUCAGAAGAAGAAAGCGAAGAACUCAGAGAGAGGAGAGAAUUGUCGGAAGUUGGAACUCACUGGAGAAGUCAUCGGCGAUGCUUUGGGAAGAAGGGGAGAAAUAUGAGAAAUUGGGGAUUUAGGGCUUUUCU